rnacentral:pre_miRNA from 1 species
ACGUGGACCUCUUGGGAAUCUUGUUAAAAUGCAGAUUCCAUGUCAGUAGGUCUGGUAUGGGGACUGAAAUGCUGCAUUUCUAAUUAGUUUCCAGGGGAUGUCAAG